GUGUCAGCAGCCGCGGUAAUACGAACUGUGCGAACGUUAUUCGGAAUCACUGGGCUUACAGGGUGCGUAGGCGGCUUAGCAAGUCAGGUGUGAAAGCCCCCGGCUCAACCGGGGAACUGCGCUUGAAACUGCUGAGCUCGAGUCAACUAGAGGUGCACGGAACUUCCAGUGGAGCGGUGAAAUGUGUUGAUAUUGGAAGGAACACCGGAGGCGAAAGCGGUGCACUGGGGUUGGUCUGACGCUGAGGCACGAAAGCCAGGGGAGCGAACGGGAUUAGAAACCCUAGUAGUCC
rnacentral:rRNA from 1 species